rnacentral:rRNA from 1 species
CCUACGGGAGGCAGCAGUGGGGAAUAUUGCACAAUGGGCGAAAGCCUGAUGCAGCAACGCCGCGUGAGCGAUGAAGGCCUUCGGGACGUAAAGCUCUGUCCUCAAGGAAGAUAAUGACGGUACUUGAGGAGGAAGCCCCGGCUAACUACGUGCCAGCAGCCGCGGUAAUACGUAGGGGGCGAGCGUUAUCCGGAAUUACUGGGCGUAAAUGGCGAUUAGGUUGUUUCUUAAGUCAGAUGAGAACGGGUACGGCUCAAACAUAGUAAGCCUUUGAAACUGGGAAACUUGAGUGCAGGAGUUGAGAGUGGAAUUCCUAGUGGAGCUGUGAAAUGCGUAGAUAUUAGGAGGAACACCAGUUGCGAAGGCGGCUCUCUGGACUGUAACUGACACUGAGGCACGAAAGCGUGGGGAGCAAACAGGAUUAGAUACCCCUGUAGUC